rnacentral:hammerhead_ribozyme from 1 species
AUUCAUCUGACGAAUCUCAAAUAGGACGAAACGCACGUCCUGCAU